GAUGAACGCUGGCGGCGUGCCUAAUACAUGCAAGUCGAGCGAACGGACGAGAAUCUUGCUUCUCUGAUGUUAGCAGCGGACGGGUGAGUAACACGUGGAUAACCUCCCUAUAAGACUUGGAUCACUUCGGGAAACCGUAGCUCAUACCAGAUAAUAUUUUUAACCGCAUUGUUCAAAAGUGUAAGACGGUCUUGCUGUCACUUAUAGAUGUAUCCGCUCUGCAUUAGCUAGUUGGUAUGGUAACGGCUUACCAAGGUAACGAUGCAUAGCCGACUUGAGAGGGGGACGGGCCAAAAGGGAACUGGGCCACGGUCCAGACGCGUACGGGCGGAAGCAGUAGGGGAUGGUACGAGAUGGGAGAAAGCCUGACGGAGCAAAGGCGCGUGGGUGAGGAGGGUCUUCGGAUCGGAAAACUUUGUUAUUAGGAAAGAACAUAUGCGAAAGUGACUGUGCACAGCUGGAGGGAACCGAAUCAGAAAGCCACGCCUAACUCCGU
rnacentral:rRNA from 1 species